UCUACGGGAGGCAGCAGUGGGGAAUCUUGCACAAUGGGGGAAACCCUGAUGCAGCCAUGCCGCGUGGAGGAAGACACCCCCAUGGGGCGUAAACUCCUUUUCUGCGCGAAGAAACCCCUGUUUUUCAGGGUGUGACGGUACCGCAGGAAUAAGGACCGGCUAACUCCGUGCCAGCAGCCGCGGUAAUACGGAGGGUCCAAGCGUUGUCCGGAAUCACUGGGCGUAAAGGGUGUGCAGGUGGGGCAGCAAGUCAGAGGUGAAAGCCCGCGGCUUAACCGCGGAAGUGCCUUUGAAACUGUUGCUCUUGAGUCCCGGAGAGGCUGUCGGAAUUCGUGGUGUAGCGGUGAAAUGCGUAGAUAUCACGAGGAACACCAGAGGCGAAAGCGGGCAGCUGGACGGGUACUGACACUGAGGCACGAAAGCGUGGGGAGCAAACAGGAUUAGAUACCCUGGUAGUCCGCGCCGUAAACGAUGGAUGCUCGCCGUUGUCUCGUUAAGGGACAGUGGCUAAGCUAACGCGUUAAGCAUCCCGCCUGGGGAGUACGAUCGCAAGGUUGAAACUCAAAGGAAUUGACGGA
rnacentral:rRNA from 1 species